rnacentral:rRNA from 1 species
AGAGGGGGAUAACCACUGGAAACGGUGGCUAAUACCCCAUGUGGUUCCGCAUUCGGUUGCGGGAUUAAAGGCUCCGGCGCUUCGGGAGGGGCCUACGGCCUAUCAGCUAGUUGGUAGGGUAAUGGCCUACCAAGGCUAUAACGGGUAGCUGGUCUGAGAGGACGGUCAGCCACACUGGCACUGAGACACGGGCCAGACUCCUACGGGAGGCAGCAGUGAGGAAUAUUGCGCAAUGGGGGAAACCCUGACGCAGCAACGCCGCGUGGGCGAAGAAGGUCUUCGGAUCGUAAAGCCCUUUUCUCCCGGACGAGGAAGGACGGUACGGGAGGAAUAAGUGUCGGCUAACUACGUGCCAGCAGCCGCGGUAAAACGUAGGACGCAAGCGUUAUCCGGAUUUAUUGGGCGUAAAGGGCGUCUAGGCGGCGUCUUAAGUUGGGCGUGAAAUCUUCCGGCUCAACCGGAAGGGUGCGUUCAAUACUGGGACGCUUGAGGGCAGCAGAGGGAGGUGGAAUUCCCGGUGUAGCGGUGGAAUGCGUAGAUAUCGGGAGGAACACCAGUGGCGAAGGCGGCCUCCUGGGCUGUACCUGACGCUGAAGCGCGAAAGCGUGGGGAGCGAACGGGAUUAGAUACCCCGGUAGUCCACGCCGUAAACGAUGGAUACUAGGUGUUGGUGGUAUUGACCCCAUCGGUGCCGCAGCUAACGCAUUAAGUAUCCCGCCUGGGGACUACGGUCGCAAGGCUAAAACUCAAAGGAAUUGACGGGGGCCCGCACAAGCAGCGGAGCGUGU